rnacentral:lncRNA from 1 species
ACAAAGAAUAAAGAACAAAGGUAAAGUGAAAAGAACUAAAGAACAUUGCAUAAUCUGCAUGCUAUAAUGUUAUCAAUUCCUUGUUUUGUUCAGCUGAUAAUUAGCAUCAUGUUAUCAGCUGGUUACAGAAUACUUCAGCUUACACCUUUCUAUUAUGCCUGAAUUAGUCCUAUGUGGAAAGUCGGUGCAUGUGAGGCCGAACCCAUGGUGAACUUUGUGUGUAGUUCUCACCCGACUAUUCCACCCCAGAGGCUCGGGACCGAAAGGAGCGCGCGAGCGACCGAGGUAAAGGUAUGCCCGCCUUAGUCAGAGGCCACCACAGUUAGGGUUUCAUUUUGUAGUAUAAGUACCCUACAUUCAUCUUUGUACUUGAUGAUAAUGGUGUAAAGAAGCACUGUAAUGUGUAUUUGAGGUAAAUGUGUAUGUAAGGAACGAAAGAUGAAUCGAAAUGUAGAGAAAAUAUCGAAAAGUUUACAAGGUGAUGUAUGUAUAGCACGUGAUCUAAAUGAUCAUAUACUUAUGAAAUGUGUUAGUUUUCGCUCUUUUAUCACUAAUGGCUAUGUUGCUUCCACAUCAACGUGUAAGCCGUUGUGUUGUUGUAGUCAGAUUCUUUGUCUUGAAUUUUGUACAUGUUGAUGACCUUGGCGGAUAGGGGAAACUCCUGUCUUCGCUCUGUUACGUGCGUCGGUGUCCAAAUUGGCAUCGGUCCGCGGGCCGUGGACAUCAUGCAUUUAAGUGCAUCUAAAAUUAUGGGGGGCAGUAAUAAUUCCUUUAACAUAUGAACAUGAAUUUUAAAAACAAUUUUACAACAAGGUAAAGAGCCAUGGGGACCAUUUACGCACCUAUUUCGCACGAAGCGAAACCCCCGUCGCAACAGGAAAAGCUUUCUGUUUCCACGACGAAGUACUCCACCACACUCCUAAGUACCUAAAGGUAAUGAAAACGAAGUGCAUCUAACGCGAAACGAACACUCGCUAAGUUCAAAUCAUUAACCCAACUCCGAGCUAUGAGGUUGGGAGAAAACCACUCUCAAGUGAAAACCCUCUCUUAAUCAUCAACAUGGAAGUAAGGGAUCAUCAUCAAGCAUAACCUUAUCAGUUCCCAAACCAGUACAAAAAGGGCUUCAAAAGCCUCGAAAUCAAAAAGCCCAAUUCUAACCCUAAGAGAUCCCAAUCUAGGUGUUCAUACUAAGUAAACCAGCAAAUCAUGUAUCAAGUAGGGGUUACAUGCUACCAACCUCAUGAGGUAGCUUCAAUCCAAGCUCAAAACAAAUAGCGGUUGAAGCUUGAAUCUCCACAAAGCUCCAACGCGCUAAGCUCGAAGCCAUCCAAGGUGAAAAUGAGGAAGAAGAUGAUGAGCUCCAAGGCCUCCAAGCACAAGCUCCUUCCUGCUUCUUCUUCUCCUUCUCUCGUCUCCAUUUCUUCUUCUCUCUCUAAGAUAGGUGGGAAGGAAGGAAAUGUAGGAAGUGAAGAGGUGAAAUGCCAUAUAGACCAUCUAAAGCACAAAAUCCACUUUAGGGUCCCUCAAAACUCAAAUUUACAACUCAAGCCGACGGACUGGCAGAUUUCGCCAGAGGGACGGACGGUCUCUCCCCAGCAGGGACCCGAGUCUAUCGCUGCGAAUGCCGAAACAACGUUCGGGACCGGUCUCUCCCUGCGCGGGACCGGUCUCGUCCCACGCGCAUGACGCGCUCGGGGAUCCGGCUCUCGGACUGCCAGGUGACCGGUUGCCUCGCCGCAUGCGGCAGCACGAUGUUUACGGGGGACCGUCUCAUCCUAAUUGGACGUCGCCCGAGAGUAAAAAUCCAUCUCAGGAACUCGUGCGCAAACUCUCAGAAUCGACUUUAGGCCGGUAUACCAUCGACGGCCCUCCACUAAGUGUGGAAAAGUUCGGAAUACGCAUCAAACACUCGAACCUCGCAAUUUGCAAAGGUCCAGUGUGCUACAUAUCUUUACAUUGGCUUUUCGUAACGUUAAUCCGAGCGCACCAACGCGUCGGAAAUGCCCCCAAUUAGGUUUCUAGAGGGUCAAUUGCACUUUAGAAACAUCACGAGCAAAAGCCCUAAUUUGGGUGCCCUAGCUCCAUAGCAUACAUCAAACCUAGGGUUUGAUCUCAUUGGGAAGCAAAACAAGCUUCAUUCUACUCUAGAGACUCCACAAAAAUCAUCUCUAGGUCAAUCCAAACCCUAGUUUGGAUUCUACCAUGAGAGGGUAUGAAGCUCUCCUUCAAGCUUCACCUCCAAUACUAAACCCAUGGUCUUGAUCUCAAAUGAAGCAAAAGAAAAGCUUCAAGGACUCAAAAGGUUUCAUUAAAACCAUCUCUAGGUCACAUAGUUCCCAUUUUAGGGUUUUAGCAUGAUUAGGGUUGAAGCUUACCUCAAAGCUUUCCCUAUCUUCAAGCUAGAGAUGAGGGAGAGGGAGUUUCUCCACUCCUUCUUCUUCUUCUCCACUUUCUUCUUCUUCUUUUCCUUCCUUUCCUUUGUCUUCUUCUUCUUCUUCUUUGUCUUCUAGAGAGAGAAAGAGAGGAGAGAGUGUGAGAGGGUGUGAAAUGAGAAAAAUAUCUCAUUUGCCCUCAAACUUGACUCCAUUGGUUGCAAAAAUGCAAUUAAACCCCUCAGUUUUUAUCUUAUUACACUGCAAGAACUGGGCAGAUUUCGGGCUCGGGGACCGGUCUCCCCGACUUGGGACCGGUCCCAGAGAGCUCUCCCCGCAGCUGCGCAGGGCUCACGCGCGAUGCAACCGGUCUCUCACUAGGGGACCGAUCUCUCACUAGGGGACCGAUCUCUCCGGGACCGGUCUCUCCCCGCAGGGACCAGUUCCCGAGAGCUGGUUUUCUGGGACUUAGCCGAUUUUUCAGCUUUCUCAGUUUUCACACGUUCGGGGACCGGUCUCUCCCACCAGGGACUGGUCCCCGAGAGCAUGUCACGCCCCGGGGCACAGCGGAAACCCGCCCGGCACAUGCACAGACCCGCCAUACGUCUAAAACAUAUUAGGCGUCUAAAAACAACGAUGAAUAAAGCAAUAAUAAAAGACAUUUAGGAGUAUCAGAGUAUAAUAAAUGACUAAGUUCUACAAUAGAGGAAAGAACAUAAGCGAUAAUCCACUAAGUAAAAACGUAAAGUAAUACAAAGAGAAAUCCCAAAUACAAGAGCUAAAAGAGUACAUAGGUGGUCUUUAUACAUGGUAAACAAAAUCCCGCUCUCCCAAAACAUAAAAAGAGGGAAAACCACCUAAGAGUAAAAGUGAAUCCUCGCUAUCUAGCUAGCGAUCCCCUUGCCGCGGUCCCGUGCCUCCGCCGGUGCAGAGGGCUCUGAAAGGGAAACAUAAAACAGAGGGUGUGAGAACUAUUAAAUAAUAGUUUCCAGUGGGCAAUUACUGGCUUCAGUGAAUGCACCACUAGGCCCAAAAACUGAAAAGAAAAGGGUGAGUAACAAUAAGGCAGUAAAGCGAAAAGUAAGUAAAAAUGUAACUUACUACGACUUGAUAUCUCUACUUAGCAUGGAUGGCAUAAGUAUAAAAGCAACUGUACAUGAAGUAUAAGUCUACAACUAUCAUGAUGUCCACAAGCUAAAUAGUAAAAUGUCAUUGUUUACUAUUCUAGUCCAAGUCCACUUGACACUUUAAUAGUUUUAAAGUUCACAUAGCACGUCACUAAGUUCCAAUCAAAUAAGACCAACCCGACGGCUGUCUGGCCUACGCCGUGCCUAAUGGCCCCGUGGUAGUCAACAUCCCCACUCUAGGAAUGAGCCUCCCCCACGGCAUCCCAUUUCGGCGCCCAAUCCCUUACGGCGAGCAUAUGUCGCGAUGGCUAUCUCCGGAGUGCCGGCUUGUAGGGAGCGACCCUCACAAGCAUGUGCGAAUGAGCACAAUGGCAAGCAAGCAAUGAUCUGUCUCAAGUACCAAGUCCUCAUGUCUAAAAACAUGGAAUAUAACAAAUAUCUCAAUGGCCUAUCCCUAUGUCAUCAUGUCUCUAACAUAGAUUAUAGCAGAUGUACAAUGGCCUAUCAAUAUGUCUCUAUGUUGCAGUUUCAUAGUUUGCUAGUUUCGAGUGCCCCUUUAUGACACUUUGUCCUCUUUGUCCAAGCAUAAUACGUACGUUCCAAGGUACAUAUUUCAAGUCAUUAUCUUCGUAAGAGAUAUGUUAUCAACUUGCAAAUGUAAACACUUUUCCACAUGCAUGCAGUCUACUCAUAUAGCUCUACUGUAUAGUGAAAUUUUUGUGAUACAUAAGGCAUGCAUUUUAAGUGUUUCAAAAUUCAUAAUAAUUCUAUCUAGUAUGAAUAUGCAUUUACUUUCACAAAAAGACGAGUAUUUUACUCAUAGGGGCCAUUUUGCCCCGAUUCAUGAAGCCAAACCCACCAAUUUUUCGAACUCUCCGUUUCUCCGAACGAAGGUGUCCGCUAGCCUCCUAGCACCCUAAGGAUGUAGAAACAAGGGUUACCCAAACGAAACGAACAACGGAUUGAUCAAUCAAUAAGCAUUUCAAGCUAAAGUUGAAGAAAACUCACCGAUUGCGAAGGAAGCUCUCUCGAUCUCCAAAUAGGAGUUAGAGUCCUUCCAACCUAACCUAAACAGGUUCUAAACCCAUCAAUUUGGUUGCAAAGCCCUCAAAUAAAAAAUCCCCAAAUCUAACCCUACAAUCCAAAAUCUAGGAUUUCCAAAGAGAGAACCUACCAAAACAAGCUCUAAAAGAGAGAUCAUGAGUACUCACCACACAAGAUGUCCCAAACCAAGCUCCAAGUCCUCUAGGGUUGAAGGUUGAUCCUCAAUCAAGCUCCAACCAAGAUCUCAAGCUUCUCCAAUGGUGGAAAACCCACAAAAAGCAAGAAGGAGAAGAAGAAAGAGAUCAAAACUAGGUAAAUCCCUCAAAAAUGAGGAAGAAAUCAAGGGGGAGAAGUUCUCACCUUGUCUCCACAGGUCUAGGGCUCAAAAGAGCCCCCCAAGGGCUGUGGUGGGGUUUAAAUAGAGUUGCAACAAUUGCAAAAACACCCCUGCCCGAAAAACAGGCAAGUCUGCACUGUGUACUGGUACACGAGUUUGUGUACCAGUACACAUCCCACGAACCAGCCCAACCCGAGCCUCGGGUUGGCGCACUGGCUGCCAGGGCCGAUGGCUGUACCGGUACAGCCAUCACCGCGUACCGGUACACUGCCCUACAGCAAGCUACCCGAGAGCUGACCAAAAAUCUGACUUUUCGAAUUUUGGUGCUAGGUUUUAAACCUCCAAUCUCGGGGUUCGAACCAUGGGUCGGAACACUAUCCACGACUGUCACGCCCCGGGGCCCAGCGGAAGCCCGCCCGGCACAUGCCCAGACCCGCCAUACGUCUAAAACAUAUAAGGCGUUUAAAAACAACAACAAUAAAAGCAAUAAUAAAAGACAUCUAGGAGUAUUAGAGCAUAGUAAAUGUCUAAAUGCUACAACAAGGGAUAAGGAUAAAACUGUAAAUCCACUAAANAACUGAAAUGGAAGCUCAAUAUAGCAUGAAGUCACUACUUUCAUCAGUAAUAAUCUACCACAUGAUCUCUACUUAGCAUGGAUUUGCAUAAGUAAUAAACUACUACAUGAUCUCUACUUAGCAUGAAUUUGCAUAAGUAAUAAACUACCACAUGAUCUCUACUUAGCAUGGAUUUGCAUAAGUAAUAAACUACCAUGGCAUAAUUGCAGAAGUAAAAGCCCAACACCAUGAUCACAAGGUAGAAUGGUAAUGUGUCAUUAUCUACUAUUCUACUCAAUGUCCAAAAGGUACAAUAUGUCACUAGUAACCCAAUCUUGUGGAAGCUACCCGUAGGUAGUCCGGCCUGCGCCGUGCCAACAAUGGUCCCGUGGUAGUCAACAUCCCCACUCUAGGAAUGAGCCUCCCCCAUGGCAUCCCAUUUUGGCGCCCAAUCUCGCACGGGCGAGCAUAUGUCGCGAUGGCUAUCUCCGGAGUGCCGACUUGUAGGGAGCGACCCUCACAAGCAUGUGCGAAUGAGCACAAUGGCAUGCAAGCGAAUGAGUCCGUCUUAGGUCCCAGUGGUUCAUCACUGUUUCAUCGGAUCUAAAACCCGGAAUACAGCACAUGUCCCAAAGGCCUGCCUCUAUGUCUUCGUGUCUAAAACACGGAAUAUAGUAACUGUCUCAAUGGCCUAUCUCUAUGUCAUCAUGUCUAAAACAUGAAAUAUAGUAGAUUCCCAGUGGCCUAUCAUCAUGUCUCUAAGUUGUAGUUCAACAAUUUUCUAGUUCAAGUGCCCCUUUAUGACACUUUUGCUUACUAUGUCCCAAUAUGAAUAUUAAGUCUAAAAGCUUGUCAUUCUAAUCAUUUUCUACACAAGAAAUAUGGUCUUACAUCAUUCAUUAGAGCAUUAAACUCAUGCAUACUAACAAUGCAUAUGCUUUUCUCAACAACAUAGUGUAAUAUGUCGAAAGUUCGGAAAAUAAAUAUCAAACUUUAGUCAAAUUGACCAAAGUGUGAGGACGGUACACUUCAGAAAGUCCGGAGGUGUUAAAAUGAGUAAAAGUGUGUUGAGGAAGGUUUUCAAGAGCUAAAGAAUCAAAAUCUGCAUUCUGCAGAAUUUUAGCUCUCGGGGACCGGUCCCUGGUGGGUGAGACCGGUCCCCGAACGCGUGAGGAAUGAGACAGCCGAAAAAUUGGCUAAGUCCCAGAAGAGUAGCUCUCGGGAACCGGUCCCUGCCGGGAGAGACCGGUCCCCGAGAGACCGGUCCCCCAAGGAGAGACCGGAUGCAUCGCGCGUAGCCCUGGCUGCCCGCGGGAAGAGCUUUCUGGGACCGGUCCCAAGUCGGGGAGACCGGUCCCCGAGCCCGAAAUCUGCCCAGUCCAGGCAGUGUAAUAAAAUAAAAGUUGAGGGGUUUAGCUGCAAUUUUGCAACCCAUUGAGCUAUGUAUGAGGGGUAAUGAGGUAUUUCUCUCAUUCUACUCCCUCUCACACUCUCAUCUCUUUUUCUCUCUCUAGAAGACAAGAAGGAGAAGAAGAAAACAAAGGAAAGGAAGGAAAAGAAGAAGAAGAAAGUGGAGAAGAAGCCAUUGGAGUGAAGCAACUUCAUCUUCUUUCUCUCUAGUGCAAGAAAGGAGCAAGCUUAGAGGUAAGCUUUGCCCCUUUUCAUGUUAAUUCCCAAACUAGGGUUUGGGUAAACCUAGAAAUGGUUUUUAUAGAGCUUUUAGAGUCUUUGAAGCUUUCUUUUUGCUUCUUUUGAGAUCAAGACUAUGGCAUGAGUAAAAGAGGUGAAGCUUGAAGGUGAGCUUGACACCUCUCAUGGUGAAACCCUAAAAUGGGUUUUAGUAAAGCUAAGAAUGAUUUAGAUGGACUCUUUAGAGUAUAAUGAAGCUACUUUUGCUUCCCAAUGAGAUCAAACCCUAGGUUUGAUAAUGCUAUAGAGCUAGGGCACCCAAAUUGGGGCUUUUGCUCAUGGGGAUUUCUAAGUGCAAUUGACCCUCUAGAAACCUAAUUGGGGGUAUUUCCGACGGGUUGGUGCGCUCGGAUUAACGUUACGAAAAGCCAAUGUAAAGAUAUGGGCAAAAUGGCCUAUGUUGGCUUCGUUUUGCCGUAGGUGAAGAACGAGGAGCCUAAAGAUCCCAAGGAAAUUACCGGAGCACCUAAGAAAGCCUACGAGGUGGGUGGUGCUUUUCAAACUUGUUGAACUUCUGUCACGCCCCGGGACCCAGCGGAAGCCCGCCCGGCACGUGCCCAGACCCGCCAUACGUCUAAAACAUAUAAGGCGUCUAAAAACAACAAUAAUAAAAGCAAUAAUAAAAGACAUCUAGGAGUAUCAGAGCAUAGUAAAUGUCUAAAUGCUACAACAAGGGAUAAGGAUAAAACUGUAAAUCCACUAAAGAAAACAUAAAGUGACACAAGAAAAUCCCAAAUACAAGUGCUAUAGGUAAAUACAUAGGUGGUCUCUAUACAUGGAUACAAAAACCUCUCACUCUCUCAACUACAAAAAGAAAGAGUAAACCACCUAGGCAAAGUAUCGCUCUUCGCUAGCUAGCUAAGCGAUCCCCUUGCCGCGAUCCCAUGCCUCCGCCGGUGCCGAAGGCUCUGAAAAGUAAACCAUAAAACAGGGGCGUGAAAACUAUUAAAAAUAGUUCCCAGUGGGCAAUUACUGACUUCAGUGAAUGCACCACAAGGCCCAAAGCUACAAAAGAUGUCAGUGACUAUAAAUGUAGAAAAGCGAAAGGUAAGUAAAAAUGCAACUUACUACAACAUGAUAUCUCUACUUAGCAUAAAUAACAUAAGUAUGAAAGCAACUAUGCAUGAAGUAAAAGUCUCCAACUAUCAUAAUGUUCACAAUUCCGAAAUAGUAAAGUUCCGUUCGUUUACUAUUUCUAGUCAGAUGAUCCAAGUAAUACCACUAAGUCAUCGUCGUCACAUGUCAUAGUAUGAAUACUCAAAGUCAAACCUGGAGAGACCCACCCGAUAGGCUGUCUAUGGCCCUUGAGACCCACCCCGUAGGCUGUCUUGCCGAUCCUGUGCCUAAUGCCCCGUGGUCAGUCAUCAAUCCCCACACCUAGGAAUGAAAGCCUGGCCCACGGCAAUUCCACUUCGUGCGCCAUCCCCGCACGCUCAGAAUAAAUGAAGAAAUAUCGCCGUAUGCUCAUCUCCGGCCCAGUGCCAGCUUGUAGGUGGCGACCCCUCAAGCAAGAUGUGCGAAUGAGCACGAUGGCCAAGUAAUUCAAUGAUCUGUCGCAAGUACCGAAGUCCUCAUUCUAAUAACAUGGAAUUGUGUCACAGUAUCUCAAUGGCCUAUCCCUAUGUCCUCAUGUCUCUAACAUGGAAUAUAGGCAGAUAUGUGUGGGCCAAAUCAGUAUUGUCUCUGAUGUUUCAGUUUCAUAGUUUACUAGUUUCAAUGCUUCUUGAGCACUGUUAGGCUAUAAGUCCAAACAUAGUUUAUAAUUUUCAGAUACACGGAAAUAUGAGCUAAAUUAGCAUACUAGACGGAGAAUUAACCAUUCGUCCCUGAACACCCUCACAUGCAUAAAAUACCGCCGAUUACUCUACUAUGUAGAGUGAAAUUUAACUUUACACAUAGGCAUCAUGCAUUUUUAAGUGUUCUAAAUUCACAUAAAUUCCAAAAUAACAUAGAAAUUGCAUUCAAAAAUACUUUACGAAAAGUUUUAGAAAUGCAUUAGGGCGCCAUUUCACCCCGUUUUCAUAAUCAAACCACCGUCUUCACAGAAAGCUUUCGUUUGCCACACGAAAGGCGUCCACCAACACUCUAGUACCCUAAAGGAUAUGAGAACAAAGAUCUUAGUCGAGCAACGAACGACGCUAAGUUCAAUCUUUAAGCUAUUCAAGCAUAGGUGGAGGAGGAAAACUCACCUCAAAGUGCAAAAAUUCCUCUAUAACCUCCAAAGAGAGCUAGAGUCCACUCCAAUCUCACUAAAGGAAGCUUCUAAGCCAAUCAAUUCUAGCUUCAAAAGCCAGUUCAAAUACCCAAAAAUAACCCUAAUAUUUCACAAUCUAGGGUUUCAUCUCAAAUCCAUCAAUAAAGCUCAAGUCUAGAGGGAGAGAACAAGUCACUUACCUCUAAGAAGCUUCAAACCAAGCUCCAAAAUCCUCAAAGUGUGGAGAUCUCCCUCUUCCCAAGCUCCAAGGUCAAGCUCCAAUGGAGGAAAAGCUUCCAACAAGCAAAAAGAGCAAAAAGAGGGUUUAAUCCUCCAAAAUCCAAGAGAAUGGGAUCAAAUCCAAGGGAGGAGGAGAAGAAGGGUGCCCUACCUUGCCCUCUCUGUGAUCUGAGCUCAGGAGAAGCCCUAAGGGGCGUGGGGUACUAAAUAGAAGGCUACAAUUGCGAAAACCCCCUGCAGUUCAAACUGCUCAGAUUCUGCCAAAGUGUACCGGUACACGGGAAAGUGUACCGGUACAAAUCCUACGAAAAUGCAAACCCGAGGCUCGGGUUUGAAAUUCGUCACAAGUGUACCGGUACAGCCAUCAAAAGUGUACCGGUACAAAAUGUGUACCGGUAUAGCCAUCGACCUGUCACCGGUUACACCUCGUGCAGAAUGCAAUCCGAGGGUAGGCUAAGUCCAACUCUUUGGUGACCUUAGCGCUACAUAUAAUACCACAAUUCUCGGGAUACGAGCCAUGGGUCGGAACACAGUCAACGACCCACCAGAAAGUCUGGAAAACUCGGGACACUAUCCAAACACUCGAACCUCGCAAUUUGCAAAGGUCCAGUGCGUCACAACUUCCCUCUAUGCCUAAUGUGUCAUUCAAUUGAGCAUAUGUAUAUACAUUGUUGCAUGCAUUUUAGGGUAAAGUAAUGCUAAAAAUGUGAUGUUGCAUGAUUGUGAGCACAACUUGCAUAAUGUGAUGGUUAAGAACCUUAUGAAUGUCAAAAACCCUAUAUAUGUAUGCAUGAGAGAAAGUGUGAGAACCAAAGUGAGGCGAAAGAACCGAGUGACACAAUGAGACAUAGAUCGAGUGGCAUUUGAUAAUGUAAAGUGAAGAACACUAGAGUUAGUGUGGGGCAAAAGAAUCAAUGCGAUGUAAAGAUAAUGACAAUGGCUAAAGUUAAUGCAAAGUGUGGCAUCAAGAAUAAAGAAUGGAAAGAUAAUGCAAAGUGGGCAAAAAGAACAUGUAAAGAGUAAAGAACAUGAAUGCUAGAGUUAGCCAAAAGUAAAGAAAGGCAAAGAACAAUGAUUGCUAGAGUUAGCAAAAGUAUAAGAAACGUAAAGAACGUGAUUGCUAGAGUUAGCAAAAGUAAAAGAAAUGUAAAGAACAAUGAUUGCUAGAGUAGCAAUAUAAAGUGAUGUAAAGAACACUAGAGUUAGUGUAAAGUCAAGAUUGAACAUACAAUCCUUUGAGUUAAGGAUUCGAUCAUACUUGCUAUGAGUUCCGUGCUCGAGGGCGGUCGCUUCCCCUCGGGCGAUGCACUCCGGAGUUUUUGCAUCACGGGUUGGAGUAAACCCGAAGGACGGUCCUAGCGGGUGAGUUCCUGCGAUGAUGGACUUAAUGUGAAGCAAGCUUAAUGUGGCGAAACCCCCGGGUUAGCCUUGAGAUUAAAGAACAAAGAGCAAAGAACAAAGAAUAAAGAAUAAAGGAACAAAGAGUAAAGUCAAAGAACGAAAGAACUUGCAUAAUCUGCAUAUGUUUAAUGUUGAGCAUACUUCUUGCUUAUUGUUCAGGCAUAUUAGCAUCAUGUUAUAGAUUGGUUACUAUAUUCAGCUUAUCCUUUCUAUUAUGCCUGAGUUAGUCAUAGUGGGAAAGUCGGUGAUGUUGAGGCCGAACCCACUGGGAACUUUGUUGUAGUUCUCACCCCACUAUUCUACAGAGCCGGGACCGAGCGAGCCGGCGAGCGACCGAGCUAAAGGUAUCGCGCCUUAGACAGAGACCACCAGAGUUGAGCUCAGUUUACAUUUUGUU